rnacentral:rRNA from 1 species
UACGUAGGGGGCGAGCGUUGUCCGGAUUUAUUGGGCGUAAAGAGCUCGUAGGCGGUUCGAUAAGUCGGAUGUGAAAUCUCCACGCUCAACGUGGAGGGGCCAUUCGAUACUGUCGUGACUCGAGUCCGGUAGGGGAGUGUGGAAUUCCCGGUGUAGCGGUGAAAUGCGCAGAGAUCGGGAGGAACACCCGUAGCGAAGGCGGCACUCUGGGCCGGUACUGACGCUGAGGCGCGAAGGUGUGGGGAGAGAACAGGA